ACCCACGUAUUUUCCUUCUUUUUUUUUUUUUUUCCCUUUUGUCUCCUCCCCAGCCGCAGACAUAUCAUCAAAGA